UGAAGACAAGUAGUUAUGUCUAACCAGGAGCUGGGAUUGGGCCGACGUUGAAAUGUGGGCCUUCCGUGCUGCUUGAGUAAUGGGCUGUCACUGAAGCAGGCCGGGAGGAGAAUUUACUCCACUGACAUAUGAGGGGAAGAUUCUUUGCCGGAAACCUGCUAGAAGAUUCCCCCUCAGUUCCUCUUGACCAGAAUCGAGCCAUGUCUCAUGUUCCAGGUGCUCAGUAGGACUCCAGCCUCUGUAGCUCAGGUAACUCCGUCAGGAAGGAAGAACAGGAGUGGCGUCAGGGUACAUAAAUAACCGCGUCUGCCGAGCAGCUUAUUCCAAAUCGCACUUGACUCACCCCCCAUCCAAACCUUCUAGUAGCAGAGGUUGCUUCUGCUACCCUGUUUUGUGCAUUUGGGGACCUGGGUGGUGGUGAUUGCGAUGGUGGAAAAGGCCAUCUUUUGCCAGCUGCCUCUGGAGCUCAGGCUGGUGUCUCUGGCACUUUUGCUGUCUUGGGUGCAGUUCCAAACCAGUGGCAAUGAUGGAAUCAACAAGGUUUCACCUUGUACCUGGCUCAUACCUACACUGUCUCUCACAGUACCUCAGAAUGUGACUGUAUUUGGAGAUGAGGACUUUAAAGAAGUGAUGAAGUUAAAAUGAGGCCAUUGGGGUGAGUCCUAAUCCAAUCUGACUGGUGUCCGUAUAAGAAGAGGAAAUUUGGACACACAGACAUCAGGGAUGCACAUACACAGAGAACAGUCCACGUCAGAACACAAGGAGAAGGCAGCCAUCCCUAAGCCAAAGAGAGAGGCCUCGGAAGAAACCACACCUGCAAACCCCUUGAUCUUGAACUUCCAGCCUCCAGAACUAUGAGAAAAUAAACCUUUUGUUUA